rnacentral:rRNA from 1 species
UACAGAGGUCCCAAGCGUUGUUCGGAUUCACUGGGCGUAAAGGGUGCGUAGGUGGUGAGGCAAGUUCGGUGUGAAAUCUCCGGGCUCAACCUGGGAAUGGCAUUGGAAACUGGCGGGCUUGAGUGUGGCAGAGGGGGGUGGAAUUCCGCGUGUAGCAGUGAAAUGCGUAGAGAUGCGGAGGAACACCGAUGGCGAAGGCAGCCCCCUGGGCUGACACUGACGCUCAGGCACGAAAGCGUGGGGAGCAAACAGG